GCUCUCGUGGCGUAAUUGGAUAACGCGUUUGACUUCUAAUCAAAAGAUUGCGGGUUCGAGUCCCGCCGAGAGCU